GACGAAGGAUGCAAGCGUUAUCCGGAUUCAUUGGGUUUAAAGGGUGCGUAGGCGGGCAGGUAAGUCAGUGGUGAAAUCUCCGGGCUUAACCCGGAAACUGCCGUUGAUACUAUCUGUCUUGAAUAUUGUGGAGGUAAGCGGAAUAUGUCAUGUAGCGGUGAAAUGCUUAGAUAUGACAUAGAACACCAAUUGCGAAGGCAGCUUACUACACAGUUAUUGACGCUGAGGCACGAAAGCGU
rnacentral:rRNA from 1 species